AGAGUUUGAUCCUGGCUCAGAGUGAACGCUGGCGGCAGGCCUAACACAUGCAAGUCGAACGGCAGCACAGAGGAGCUUGCUCCUUGGGUGGCGAGUGGCGGACGGGUGAGGAAUGCAUCGGAAUCUGCCUUGUUGUGGGGGAUAACCUCGGGAAACCGGGACUAAUACCGCAUGAGACCCCUGUCCGAGAGGAGAGGGGUGAAAGAGGGGGACCGCAAGGCCUCUCGCGACAAGAUGAGCCGAUGCCGGAUUAGCUAGUUGGUGGGGUAAAGGCCUACCAAGGCGACGAUCCGUAGCUGGUCUGAGAGGAUGAUCAGCCACACUGGAACUGAGACACGGUCCAGACUCCUACGGGAGGCAGCAGUGGGGAAUAUUGGACAAUGGGCGAAAGCCUGAUCCAGCCAUGCCGCGUGUGUGAAGAAGGCCUUCGGGUUGUAAAGCACUUUUGUUGAGGAAGAAACCGACCGGGUUAAUAACCGGGUUGACUGACGGUACCCAAAGAAUAAGCACCGGCUAACUUCGUGCCAGCAGCCGCGGUAAUACGAAGGGUGCAAGCGUUACUCGGAAUUACUGGGCGUAAAGCGUGCGUAGGCGGUUUGUUAAGUCUGCUGUGAAAGCCCCGGGCUCAACCUGGGAACUGCAGUGGAUACUGGCAAGCUAGAGUGUGUCAGAGGAUGGUGGAAUUCCCGGUGUAGCGGUGAAAUGCGUAGAGAUCGGGAGGAACAUCAGUGGCGAAGGCGGCCAUCUGGGACAACACUGACGCUGAGGCACGAAAGCGUGGGGAGCAAACAGGAUUAGAUACCCUGAUAGUCCACGCCCUAAACGAUGCGAACUGGACGUUGGGCACACUUAGGUGCUCAGUGUCGAAGCUAACGCGUUAAGUUCGCCGCCUGGGGAGUACGGUCGCAAGACUGAACUCAAAGGAAUUGACGG
rnacentral:rRNA from 1 species